CUAACACAUGCAAGUCGAGCGGUAGCAUGGUUAGUAGCAAUACUAACUGAUGACGAGCGGCGGACGGGUGAGGAACACGUAGGAGCCUGCCCAAGAGAGGGGGAUAACUAAGGGAAACUUUAGCUAAUACCGCAUAAUUCUCUGAGGAGAAAAGUUGCCCGUAAGGGUAGCGCUUUUGGAGGGGCCUGCGUCCGAUUAGUUAGUUGGUGAGGUAAUGGCUCACCAAGACUGUGAUCGGUAACUGGUCUGAGAGGACGACCAGUCACACUGGGACUGAGACACGGCCCAGACUCCUACGGGAGGCAGCAGUGGGGAAUCUUGGACAAUGGGGGCAACCCUGAUCCAGCGAUGCCGCGUGGGUGAAGAAGGCCUUCGGGUUGUAAAGCCCUUUAGGCUGGGAAGAAGUUUAUGGGAUGAAUAAUCCUGUAAAUUGACGGUACCAGCAGAAUAAGCACCGGCAAACUCUGUGCCAGCCGCCGCAGUAA
rnacentral:rRNA from 1 species